rnacentral:rRNA from 1 species
UACAGAGGGGGCAAGCGUUAUUCGGAAUUAUUGGGCGUAAAGGGCGCGUAGGCGGCCUGGCAAGUGGAAGGUGAAAUCCCUCGGCUUAACCGAGGAACUGCCUUCCAAACUGCUUGGCUUGAGUCCGGGAGAGGUGAGUGGAAUUCCCGGUGUAGAGGUGAAAUUCGUAGAUAUUGGGAAGAACACCGGUGGCGAAGGCGGCGCUCUGGACCGAGACUGACGCUGAGGCGCGAAAGCGUGGGGAGCAAACAGG